AGGCCUGUAGCUCUAACGGCUAGAGCACCUGACUCCAAAUCAGGGGGUUGGGGGUUCAAAUCCCUCCAGGCCUG
rnacentral:tRNA from 1 species